rnacentral:rRNA from 1 species
GCCCUUACGGGGAAAGAUUUAUCGCCGAAAGAUCGGCCCGCGUCUGAUUAGCUAGUUGGUGAGGUAAUGGCUCACCAAGGCGACGAUCAGUAGCUGGUCUGAGAGGAUGAUCAGCCACAUUGGGACUGAGACACGGCCCAAACUCCUACGGGAGGCAGCAGUGGGGAAUAUUGGACAAUGGGGGCAACCCUGAUCCAGCCAUGCCGCGUGAGUGAUGAAGGCCCUAGGGUUGUAAAGCUCUUUUGUGCGGGAAGAUAAUGACGGUACCGCAAGAAUAAGCCCCGGCUAACUUCGUGCCAGCAGCCGCGGUAAUACGAAGGGGGCUAGCGUUGCUCGGAAUCACUGGGCGUAAAGGGUGCGUAGGCGGGUCUUUAAGUCAGGGGUGAAAUCCUGGAGCUCAACUCCAGAACUGCCUUUGAUACUGAGGAUCUUGAGUUCGGGAGAGGUGAGUGGAACUGCGAGUGUAGAGGUGAAAUUCGUAGAUAUUCGCAAGAACACCAGUGGCGAAGGCGGCUCACUGGCCCGAUACUGACGCUGAGGCACGAAAGCGUGGGGAGCAAACAGGAUUAGAUACCCUGGUAGUCCACGCCG